ACGGCAGGUAGCAGUGAGUAGUUCAGGCUGCCGUUGGUGAGUCCGUCACGGCUGAGGUUUUGAAAAACAUAAACUUCCCUACUUCCGUUUCUGUGUCAUCCGUCCUAAUCAUACUAUUUGGACUUCUAAAAUUAUACAUUUAAAAACUCUGUCGGAUUUGGGUAAAAAUUAGUGGUGCCUAUUUGCCUCAAAAUUCAAAACUGACCGUUAAAUGAAACAGGCACGCGUUACUACAGCGAGACCGAGACGAACUAUGGCGGUUUUAUUUUUCAUUGGCUAGCUAGAUAGCAUAGUUAAGGGACAUCACCGGGGUAAUAUCAACCGCCGUAACUAAGUGGCCUUGCGAACAACCCGUGGUGAUUUAAUUUGUGGCCGCUAGCUUUAUUUGCCCUGCGUGAAAAUUCCCUGCCAACUUCUUUUAACGCUUACAAAACCGAAUAUUUACAUCAGAAGAAUGGCAAUUUGCUAGCGUGCUGCUUCUAAUCUAGCCUGUGCAGACUCUGGUUAAACGCAGUUGUGUGCCCUUCCGGCAGGUGUAAUUUUACGUGUCCCUCGUCAGGAUUGUGUAGUUCACCCCUGUCCAAUACCUGUUAACAAACUGCUGAUAUAGUUAGGCCUACAGCAAAUUUUAAUCGUUCAAACCCUUGUAAAAACAUCAACUUAACAAAAGUAGUCUGUGUAGCCUAUUUUAUCUAGACUAGCGCCAUGAUCAGCAUCAGGUUAAACGAAACAAGACGUCCACUGCGUUGUUCGAAGACUUCAUUCAUGUCCACACAAUUUGGGGAUGUUUGUUAUCUAUGAGUGAAAUAUGCCAGUGUUUCAUAAACUUAAUUCGUUUGCAUGUACAUUUCAAAAGUCAAGUGGACGCACAAUUUUUAUGCUCAAAACCAGCCUUCAAUCUGUGCAAAUUCUGUAGUUAGCCGAGGCACCUGGUUCUUCUGACGAGCUGCUUGCACAGUUUGUGGAAGCUCAGUUCACUAGGAGGAGUAUGAUGGGGCAGGUCGUCUUUGGCUGAAGGGAUUAUCCCAGGAAGACCCCUGACCAGGAGGAUUUCACUGCAAGGUACAGGCAUCAGGUGCAGGUAUGCUAAACCUCUCAAAAUGGCCGCCAGUAGGAAGUGCCAUAAAGAAACAAGAUGGCUGCCCGGAGGGGAGAUGUGAAAUGGCGGAAAAUGGAGUGGCUGUUGACUCCACAGCAAAUCCAGUCAACCCCAGUCAGAGGACCCGCCGCAGAAACCUGCUAGCCAGAGAAAUGGUUCUUAACGAGCUGUUGAAGCUGACGCACCUGCCGGUGAGCACACCUGAGGGAGAUAAAGAUGGAGUGAGGCCCUGCUGCACAGUCUACGCGUGAGUACUGCCGCAGG